GGUUGUGGGAGUCACAGUGGCAGUUCUAACUGGCUGCCGGCAUGAUGUUCAGGAUGGUAGGUGAACGACUUGGAAUGGUCGGCCGUAGAGGGUGAGAGUCCCGUAAUCGAAAUUGUUCUGUCCGUGGUGUGGCCACCCGAGUAGCACGGGGCUCGUGGAAUCUCGUGUGAAUCUGCCAGGACCACCUGGUAAGUCUAAAUACUUCUUAAUGACCGAUAGUGAAUCAGUACCGUGAGGGAAUGGUGAAAAGUACCCCGGGAGGGGAGUGAAAUAGUACCUGAAACCGUGUGCUUACAAGCCGUUGGAGCCUUUUGGGGUGACAGCGUGCCUUUUGAAGAAUGAGCCUGCGAGUUAGUGUUAUGUCGCGAGGUUAACCCGUGUGGGGUAUCCGUAGCGAAAGCGAGUCUGAAUAGGGCGUUUGAGUGGCAUGACCUAGACCCGAAGCGGAGUGAUCUAUCCAUGGCCAGGUUGAAGCGACGGUAAGACGUCGUGGAGGACCGAACCCACUUCAGUUGAAAAUGGAGGGGAUGAGCUGUGGAUAGGGGUGAAAGGCCAAUCAAACUCUGUGAUAGCUGGUUCUCCCCGAAAUGCAUUUAGGUGCAGCGUUACGUGUUUCUUGCCGGAGGUAGAGCUACUGGAUGGCCGAUGGGCCUUCACGGGUUACUGACGUCAGCUAAACUCCGAAUGCCGGUAAGUGAGAGCGUAGCAGUGAGACAGUGGGGGAUAAGCUUCAUUGUCGAGAGGGAAACAGCCCAGACCACCAACUAAGGCCCCUAAGCGUGUGCUAAGUGGGAAAGGAUGUGGAGUUGCUUAGACAACCAGGAGGUUGGCUUAGAAGCAGCCAUCCUUGAAAGAGUGCGUAACAGCUCACUGGUCAAGUGAUUCUGCGCCGAUAAUGUAGCGGGGCUCAAGUACACCGCCGAAGUUGUGGCAAUGAUCUUUUUGGAUUGUUGGGUAGGGGAGCGUCGUGUAGCCGGUGAAGCUGCGGUGUAAACCAGUGGUGGAGGCUAUGCGAGUGAGAAUGCAGGCAUGAGUAGCGAAAGAUGAGUGAGAAACUCAUCCGCCGGAUGAUCAAGGGUUCCAGGGUCAAGUUAAUCUGCCCUGGGUGAGUCGGGUCCUAAGGCGAGGCCGACAGGCGUAGUCGAUGGAUAACGGGUUGAUAUUCCCGUACCGGUGAAAAACCGCCCAUACUGAUAUUGUGAUGCUAACCAUGCGAAGCAUGAUGUGCAGGCUUUUGUUUGUGUGUUGUGUGGGUUGUGGGACCCGAUCUUUGGAGGUAAACGUGUUAACAGGUGUGACGCAGGAAGGUAGCCAAGCCACGCGAUGGUUGUCGUGGUCUAAGCGUGUAGGGUUGUCGGUUGUUAAAUGCGCCGGCUGUGUGCCUGAGACGUGAUGGGACCCCGUUUUUGGGGGAUUUGGUGAUCCUAUGCUGCCGAGAAAAGCAUCGGCGUGAGGUUUUAGCCGCCCGUACCCUAAACCGACACAGGUGAUCAGGUAGAGAAUACUAAGGCGAUCGAGAGAAUCAUGGUUAAGGAACUCGGCAAAAUGCCCCCGUAACUUCGGGAGAAGGGGGACCUUGAGCGUGAUGGGCACUUGCUGCCUGGAGCGUGUAUGGGUCGCAGAGACCAGGGGGAAGCGACUGUUUAUCAAAAACACAGGUCCGUGCGAAGUCGUAAGACGAUGUAUACGGACUGACUCCUGCCCGGUGCUGGAAGGUUAAGAGGAUUGGUUAGCCUUUUUUGGGCGAAGCUGAGAAUUUAAGCCCCAGUAAACGGCGGUGGUAACUAUAACCAUCCUAAGGUAGCGAAAUUCCUUGUCGGGUAAGUUCCGACCUGCACGAAUGG
rnacentral:rRNA from 1 species